GAUCAUAGCAAUCUUUCCAUAUGCUUAAUACGUACCCUCAUGCCUUCAAACUUUCCAAGCGCUUAAUCCCCUCAUGCGCUCAAACUUUAUCCGUGCGAUUUCCCGGAUCUUCGUUUCUCUUUGUGUUGUGGCAGCCGUUGUGCGAGUCAGCGUGCUUGAGCGCGUCAGGUUCGGUUUCAAGGUGCAGUGAUGGAGUAUGAUGCUAUUGGCUUGCUGCCUACUUCUAGGUAUCAUGUCAGCCUGCUGAAGGAGAGUUUGUGGUUGCCUGCAAAUUUUAUCCGAAUUUUUAUUUUUCAUUGAUGUUCGUCUUCAGGCUUGGUUUGGGGCUCCUUCAAGUCUUGAUCCAUGGCUAGGUCUGCAUGCUGGAUUGAAUUUCCAUGCCCUUAAUCCCCAAUCUGUUUGCACAUCUCAUUUGUUCAUUUGUUCAAGCUUUAACCAUGUAAUUUCCCAGAUCUUCGUUCUCUGCGUUGUGGUAGCUGCUGUGAGUUCGGGCCGGAGUAACCCCAUCGCCGGCAAUGCACGGGAUGCAUGGCAGCCUAGAAGCAGGUUCGGUUGUAGAUGACAGGCUCAAAUACAUUCUCGGCCAUAGCAUAAGAACCAAGCAUGUCAUGGAUGCAUGCAUAGAUAUGUACAGGGGUGAAACGUGAUCAGCGAGCCAGGAUGCCAGACGGUUUAAUUAGAAUUGAUAGGCGCAAUCAUAUCUUUCAACUAAUCUAUAUAUCUUCCACUUCCACAUUUAUCUUUUAUUCUGCACCAGAUGGAACUGGAAUCGAUGUAAAAAAUAUUGGGGAUGCUGGUGCUGAAUUAAGUAAGAUGUUUAGGAGAUAUCUGGGUUAGUGGAUAUGCAUCAUAAAUAAUGAAUGCUGACAUGAUGAGUUCUCCUUCACAAUUUGCUCGGAUUUUCAGGUAUUAAGUAAGAUGUUUAGGAGAUAUUUGUGUUAGCGCAUAUGCAUCAUAAAAAAUGUAUGUAUACAUGUUGAGUUCUCCGUCACAAUUUGAUCAGAUUUUCUGGUCUUCGAUGAAGCUCCGGCUAUUUCUUCUUCUGAUAUUCGUUCUUCAUGUAGUUUUCCUCUAUAGUUACUAACCUUCUGUAGUUUUCCUCGAUAGUUACUAACCUAUACAAUAGAUUUUGUACCAUGUUCAUUACCUAAUCAGAUUUGACCUUGACGUACAUGAAGAUUGGAGACAAAGUUGUACAGCAAGACGCAUAAGGAGUUGCUUCUAGCAUGUUGAUCUGUACCUCUGGCGUAGUACAGGUGCAUUGAGUCAUGGUUCAGAGUCUGGUGAGCGCUGAUCCAAUUGCCUACACCAGGUUUGAUCUGGGGACCUUUACAUUUCGACAGAUAUUUCUCCUAGAGUUUCAAAAACCAGAGGGAUACAAUAUACAAUACACAUUACUUAUAUAUACAAAUUAAAUUGAAGGUCGUCAUUUAAGUUGCGUGUUCUUUUGUUUGCAUUGAAGUCCCAUUUUUUGUAUUUUUUGCAUUAUAUUGAAGAAGAAAUAGAUUUUGUACGAUGAUCAUUACCUAAUCAGAUUUGACCUUGGCGUACAUGGAGAUUGGAGACAAAGUUUUACGGCAAGACACCCGAGCAGUUGUUUCUAGCAUCUUGAUCUGCACCUCUAGAGAGGUCCAAGUGCAUCGACUCAUGGUUUAGAGUCUGGUGGGCGCCUGUCCAAUUGCCUACGCCAAAUUUGAUCUGGGGACCUUUACAUUUUGACAGAUUUUUAUCCAAGAGGUUCAAAAACUAGAGCGAUACAAUAUGCAGUAGACAUUACUUAUAUAAAAAUUAAAUUGUAGGUCACCAUUUAAGUUGUGUGUUCUUCUUUUUGUAUCGAAGUCCCAUUUUUUUGUAUUUUUCCCCACAAUAUUGAAGAAGAAACUAACGUCCCUAGAUGUAUUUAAUACAAUUAACCGUGGGGCCCAUGCUUAUUCUAUACUAAUUAGCGACUCCCAAGAAAUUACCACGUUAAUCAGUAAUUAGGAGCUGUUAAUCUGGUGGGACCGAAUUAUAACGGUGUAGAUUAACCAGUCUAUUUUAAGCCCUUUAGUAAAAUACGCAAUGCAAUCUACGGUAAUCUUUGUCCCAAUUCUGUGUAGGUCAUGUCAAAAAAAAAUUCUGUGUAGGUCACGACCUCCCCAUCUCCUUCAAAAAAAAAAAUCUUUCUAAAGCCCACAAUCUUUGAUGGUUGUAAACGUAGAAUACAUGGAAGACUCGAUCCUAAUCUAGAUCGUAUUGUGUAGGUCACAAACUCCCCAUCUCCUUCCCCUAAAAAAACUGCCCAUCUCCUUCCCCUAAAAACGAACUCCCCAUCGCCUCAUCUCAGAAAAUAAAAAACCCUCUCACACACGCCGCCGCCGCAGCAGAAGCAGCCGCCGUGUUCGCCUCGCUGCAUACAGCUGGUCGAUCAUAGCAAUCUUUCCAUAUGCUUAAUACGUACCCUCAUGCCUUCAAACUUUCCAAGCGCUUAAUCCCCUCAUGCGCUCAAACUUUAUCCGUGCGAUUUCCCAGAUCUUCGUUUCUCUUUGUGUUGUGGCAGCCGUUGUGCGAGUCAGCGUGCUUGAGCGCGUCAGGUUCGGUUUCAAGGUGCAGUGAUGGAGUAUGAUGCUAUUGGCUUGCUGCCUACUUCUAGGCUUGGUUUGGGGCUCCUUCAAGUCUUGAUCCAUGGCUAGAUCUUCGUUCUCUGCGUUGUGGUAGCUGCUGUGAGUUCGGGCCGGAGUAACCCCAUCGCCGGCAAUGCACGGGAUGCAUGGCAGCCUAGAAGCAGGUUCGGUUGUAGAUGACAGGCUCAAAUACAUUCUCGGCCAUAGCAUAAGAACCAAGCAUGUCAUGGAUGCAUGCAUAGAUAUGUACAGGGGUGAAACGUGAUCAGCGAGCCAGGAUGCCAGACGGUUUAAUUAGAAUUGAUAGGCGCAAUCAUAUCUUUCAACUAAUCUAUAUAUCUUCCACUUCCACAUUUAUCUUUUAUUCUGCACCAGAUGGAACUGGAAUCGAUGUAAAAAAUAUUGGGGAUGCUGGUGCUGAAUUAAGUAAGAUGUUUAGGAGAUAUCUGGGUUAGUGGAUAUGCAUCAUAAAUAAUGAAUGCUGACAUGAUGAGUUCUCCUUCACAAUUUGCUCGGAUUUUCAGGUAUUAAGUAAGAUGUUUAGGAGAUAUUUGUGUUAGCGCAUAUGCAUCAUAAAAAAUGUAUGUAUACAUGUUGAGUUCUCCGUCACAAUUUGAUCAGAUUUUCUGGUCUUCGAUGAAGCUCCGGCUAUUUCUUCUUCUGAUAUUCGUUCUUCAUGUAGUUUUCCUCUAUAGUUACUAACCUUCUGUAGUUUUCCUCGAUAGUUACUAACCUAUACAAUAGAUUUUGUACCAUGUUCAUUACCUAAUCAGAUUUGACCUUGACGUACAUGAAGAUUGGAGACAAAGUUGUACAGCAAGACGCAUAAGGAGUUGCUUCUAGCAUGUUGAUCUGUACCUCUGGCGUAGUACAGGUGCAUUGAGUCAUGGUUCAGAGUCUGGUGAGCGCUGAUCCAAUUGCCUACACCAGGUUUGAUCUGGGGACCUUUACAUUUUGACAGAUAUUUCUCCUAGAGUUUCAAAAACCAGAGGGAUACAAUAUACAAUACACAUUACUUAUAUAUACAAAUUAAAUUGAAGGUCGUCAUUUAAGUUGCGUGUUCUUUUGUUUGCAUUGAAGUCCCAUUUUUUGUAUUUUUUGCAUUAUAUUGAAGAAGAAAGAUAAUAGAUUUUGUACGAUGAUCAUUACCUAAUCAGAUUUGACCUUGGCGUACAUGGAGAUUGGAGACAAAGUUUUACGGCAAGACACCCGAGCAGUUGUUUCUAGCAUCUUGAUCUGCACCUCUAGAGAGGUCCAAGUGCAUCGACUCAUGGUUUAGAGUCUGGUGGGCGCCUGUCCAAUUGCCUACGCCAAAUUUGUUCUGGGGACCUUUACAUUUUGACAGAUUUUUAUCCAAGAGUUUCAAAAACUAGAGCGAUACAAUAUGCAGUAGACAUUACUUAUAUAAAAAUUAAAUUGUAGGUCACCAUUUAAGUUGUGUGUUCUUCUUUUUGUAUCGAAGUCCCAUUUUUUUGUAUUUUUCCCCACAAUAUUGAAGAAGAAACUAACGUCCCUAGAUGUAUUUAAUACAAUUAACCGUGGGGCCCAUGCUUAUUCUAUACUAAUUAGUGACUCCCAAGAAAUUACCACGUUAAUGAGUAAUUAGGAGCCGUUAAUCUGGUGGGACCGAAUUAUAACUAUGUAGAUUAACCAGUCUAUUUUAAGCCCUUUAGUAAAAUACGCAAUGCAAUCUACGUUAAUCCUUGUCCCAAUUCUGUGUAGGUCAUGUCAAAAAAAAAUUCUGUGUAGGUCACGACCUCCCCAUCUCCUUCAAAAAAAAAUCUUUCUAAAGCCCACAAUCUUUGAUGGUUGUAAACGUAGAAUACAUGGAAGACUCGAUCCUAAUCUACAUCGUAUUGUGUAGGUCACAAACUCCCCAUCUCCUUCCCCUAAAAAAACUGGCCAUCUCCUUCCCCUAAAAACGAACUCCCCAUCGCCUCAUCUCAGAAAAUAAAAAACCCUCUCACACACGCCGCCGCCACAGCAGAAGCAGCCGCCAUGUUCGCCUCGCUGCAUACAGCCGGUCGAUCAUAGCAAUCUUUCCAUAUGCUUAAUACGUACCCUCAUGCCUUCAAACUUUCCAAGCGCUUAAUCCCCUCAUGCGCUCAAACUUUAUCCGUGCGAUUUCCCGGAUCUUCGUUUCUCUUUGUGUUGUGGCGGCCGUUGUGCGAGUCAGCGUGCUUGAGCGCGUCAGGUUCGGUUUCAAGGUGCAGUGAUGGAGUAUGAUGCUAUUGGCUUGUUGCCUAC